GUAAGGAAUAUUGGACAAUGGGCGGAAGCCUGAUCCAGCCACGCCGCGUGCAGGAAGAAGGUCCUAUGGAUUGUAAACUGCUUUUGUCAGAGGCGAAAGUGUAUGAUUUAUCAUAUUUUGACGGUAUCUGGCGAAUAAGCACCGGCUAACUACGUGCCAGCAGCCGCGGUAAUACGUAGGGUGCAAGCGUUAUCCGGAUUUACUGGGUUUAAAGGGUCCGCAGGCGGUCUGUUAAGUCAGUGGUGAAAUAGCAGGGCUCAACCUUGUUGCUGCCAUUGAUACUGGCGGACUUGAGAAUAGUAGAGGUGGGCGGAAUGUAGCAUGUAGCGGUGAAAUGCGUAGAUAUGCUACAGAACACCGAUUGCGAAGGCAGCUCACUGGACUAUUUCUGACGCUAAUGGACGAAAGCGUGGGUAGCAAACAGGAUUAGAAACCCGAGUAGUCC
rnacentral:rRNA from 1 species